rnacentral:rRNA from 1 species
CGCGUAGGCGGGAUGGCAGGUCGGUCGUGAAAUCCUUCGGCUCAACCGAAGAACGUCGAUCGAUACUGCUGUUCUUGAGGAUUGCAGAGGAGACUGGAAUUCCCGGUGUAGCGGUGAAAUGUGUAGAGAUCGGGAGGAACACCGGUGGCGAAGGCGGGUCUCUGGGCAAUUCCUGACGCUGAGGCGCGAAAGCGUGGGGAGCAAACGGGAUUAGAUACCCCGGUAGUCCACGCUGUAAACGAUGACGACUAGGUGUGGGGGGGUUCAGUCCCCUCCGUGCCGCAGCUAACGCAUUAAGUCGUCCGCCUGGGGAGUACGGCCGCAAGGUUGAA